rnacentral:rRNA from 1 species
CAGGAUGAACGCUAGCGGCAGGCUUAACACAUGCAAGUCGAGGGGCAGCGCGGAGUAGCAAUACUCUGGCGGCGACCGGCGGAAGGGUGCGUAACACGUGAGCAACUUGCCCGUGACAGGGGGAUAAGCGAUGGAAACGUCGUCUAACAUCCCGUAACACGAGGGGAGGCAUCUCCCUUCGUUGAAAACUCCGGUGGUCACGGAUGGGCUCGCGGGACAUUAGCUAGUUGGCGGGCAACGGCCCACCAAGGCGACGAUGUCUAGGGGUUCUGAGAGGAAGAUCCCCCACACUGGAACUGAGACACGGUCCAGACUCCUACGGGAGGCAGCAGUGAGGAAUAUUGGACAAUGGAGGCAACUCUGAUCCAGCCUUGCCGCGUGAAGGACGAAGGCCCUAUGGGUCGUAAACUUCUUUUGUCAGGGAGCAAUAAGGGCCACGCGUGGUCCGGCGAGAGUACCUGGCGAAUAAGCAUCGGCUAACUCCGUGCCAGCCGCCGC